rnacentral:rRNA from 1 species
GAUGAACGCUGGCGGCGUGCUUAACACAUGCAAGUCGAACGGAGUUAUUUAGAAGCUUGCUUUUGAAUGACUUAGUGGCGGACGGGUGAGUAACGCGUGGGUGACCUGCCUUAUACUGGGGGAUAACACUUAGAAAUAGGUGCUAAUACCGCAUAAGCGCACAGUUCUGCAUGGAACAGUGUGAAAAACUGAGGUGGUAUAAGAUGGACCCGCGUCUGAUUAGCUAGUUGGUGAGGUAACGGCCCACCAAGGCGACGAUCAGUAGCCGGCCUGAGAGGGUGAACGGCCACAUUGGGACUGAGACACGGCCCAAACUCCUACGGGAGGCAGCAGUGGGGAAUAUUGCACAAUGGGGGAAACCCUGAUCCAGCGACGCCGCGUGAGUGAAGAAGUAUUUCGGUAUGUAAAGCUCUAUCAGCAGGGAAGAAAAACAUGACGGUACCUGACUAAGAAGCCCCGGCUAACUACGUG